GUGGGGAAUAUUGGACAAUGGGCGCAAGCCUGAUCCAGCCAUACCGCGUGGGUGAAGAAGGCCUUCGGGUUGUAAAGCCCUUUUGUUGGGAAAGAAAUCCUAUCGAUUAAUACUCGGUGGGGAUGACGGUACCCAAAGAAUAAGCACCGGCUAACUUCGUGCCAGCAGCCGCGGUAAUACGAAGGGUGCAAGCGUUACUCGGAAUUACUGGGCGUAAAGCGUGCGUAGGUGGUUGUUUAAGUCUGCUGUGAAAGCCCUGGGCUCAACCUGGGAAUUGCAGUGGAUACUGGGCAACUAGAGUGUGGUAGAGGGAUGCGGAAUUCCCGGUGUAGCGGUGAAAUGCGUAGAGAUCGGGAGGAACAUCCGUGGCGAAGGCGGCCAUCUGGACCAGCACUGACACUGAGGCACGAAAGCGUGGGGAGCAAACAGGAUUAGAUACCCCUGUAGUCC
rnacentral:rRNA from 1 species